rnacentral:tRNA from 1 species
GUCCCCAUAGCUUAGUGGCAAAGCAGCGGACUUUUAAUCCGUGGAUCUGGGUUCGAUUCCCAGUGGGGACACCA